rnacentral:rRNA from 1 species
GACGAACGCUGGCGGCGUGCUUAACACAUGCAAGUCGAGCGAUGAAGUUUCUUCGGAAAUGGAUUAGCGGCGAACGGGUGAGGAACACGUGAAGAAUCUGCCCUCCACUUUGGGAUAACACAGGGAAACCUGUGCUAAUACCGAAUAUUGAAACAUAAGUGGCAUCACUGAGUUCUGAAAGAAUUUCGGUGGAGGAUGACUUCGCGGCCUAUCAGCUAGUUGGUGAGGUAAUGGCUCACCAAGGCAACGACGGGUAGCCGGCCUGAGAGGGCGACCGGCCACACUGGGACUGAGACACGGCCCAGACUCCUACGGGAGGCAGCAGUGGGGAAUAUUGGGCAAUGGAGGAAACUCUGACCCAGCGACGCCGCGUGCGGGAUGAAGGCCUUCGGGUUGUAAACCGCUUUCAGUAGGGAAGAAGCGAAAGUGACGGUACCUACAAAAGAAGCACCGGCUAACUAUGUGCCAGCAGCCGCCGUAA